rnacentral:rRNA from 1 species
GGCAGCCUACGGGACGCAGCAGUAGGGAAUCUUCCACAAUGGGCGAAAGCCUGAUGGAGCAACGCCGCGUGGGUGAAGAAGGUCUUCGGAUCGUAAAACCCUGUUGUUAGAGAAGAAAGUGCGUGAGAGUAACUGUUCACAUUUCGACGGUAUCUAACCAGAAAGCCACGGCUAACUACGUGCCAGCAGCCGCGGUAAUACGUAGGUGGCAAGCGUUAUCCGGAUUUAUUGGGCGUAAAGGGAACGCAGGCGGUCCUUUAAGUCUGAUGUGAAAGCCUUCGGCUUAACCGGAGUAGUGCAUUGGG